GCAUGGCAAUCUUAUCGUGGUUCCAUAAUGUUUACUUCCAUGACGAUUUUCUUGGGAAAGUAGUUGCAGUGGUUUCCCCUUGCCUUCUGCACCAGACUUAUUGAGGUUAUUUGAACCCCAAGGCCUCUGAAGCCUCUUCUAACCGCUGGCCAGGAUUAUGGUUAUACCGCCACUACUCGGUCGCCGUUGCCUCGUCCGUUAUCUAGCAGGAGGACCGCGGUAACACGAAGAUACCGCCGCGGAUGAUGCGUUAUCCGCGCGUGCAGACUACCAUCGAUUCUGAAUUUGACCACUGAGAAGAAUCGGCAAGAAGCAGAGACCAUGCUUUUUUCCAAAUAUGUGUACAUCAUACUCAAAAUGUGUGAAUUAUUAUAUAUUUUGUACAUAAAUAAAGAUGAUUUGAACUAGAAGAAA